UGAAUUAAGAGAGGUUUAAGGUUUUAUCUUUAAGUAAUGCUGGUGUGAUGGGCCUCCUGUGAGUGUAAUCCGUGUGCAUUGGGAGGGAGGAGAUCCUCUUGGGUUUUUCCCCGGGCAGCUCAACCAGCUCGUGCCCAAGAUGGUGUCUGUCUUCCCUAGUCUCCCGAGCACAUUAGCGUUAUGGUGGUGAGAGUGAGUGAGAGAGUAUUUCUGAUAGUAGGUUACAUUGUGAUAAGUUAUAGUAGCUGCUGGUUAUGUUAUGUUCCUCCUUUAUGUUACCUGUCAAUGUUGGUCCAGACAUUGUAGCUAGCUCAAGACAAGUCUUGUGGCUGUUGCUCCUAGUAGUAUGAAUGAAAAAGAAAAAUAAGUUCGCAUUAUGCUCUUUUUUUGCCACUUGCUUGCCAUCUUUCUUUGAGAUGGGUAUGUCUUACCUGCUCAUUUGUAUGUUUCGUACUAGCUGCUGAAGUGCUGAUGGAUGUUUCCAAGUUCUGGAAUGAAAUUUGGGUGAUUCCAUCCAGGAUGGAUGUUGUUUAGCUUGUUUUGUACGGAGUAUGUACCCUAGUACUAUGCCGAAAAAGAAAGAUGAGUUAAAUGCAUUGCAUCUCCACUUCCUGCUCUUUUUGAGACUGGUCUCUGUACUGUGCUCAUCUGUAUGCAACUUACUUGCUGAACCGUCUUGGAUGCUCAUUUGUAUCUUGUGGUGUGCUGGAGCUAAUUUUGUUAUAGUUUGACCAGUGGUGUUAGGCACUAGUGCUAUGGUCGUGGAGCUAAUCUAGUAGCAACGUUUGUUUUUAUCUUUCAUUCUAUUGGAUGUUUUCAACUCGUUGAAUGCAUUAUGUGAGAAUCCUUGGAGGAUUGAUGCUGUGUAGCUCAUUUUGUAUGUAUGCUAGUACUAUGGUGAAGUGCUAUUCAUACCAAAAAAAGAGGUCCUGGGUGGAAUGCAACUCGUGAGAUAAACAUUGAUUGAGGAUGCGGUGCAGCUAAAUUUGUUACCUGCACAAUUUCCUGAACUGUUGAUGAAUGUUUGCGACUUGUGGAGGCCAGAUCAAAUCGUGCUGAACUUUUAAUAAAGUAUCAAAAAUAGUGAUUUUGGCCACUUGUGCAAUGCGAUUUGUGAGAUUCCUGAGCAGCUGAUUUUUGCGUGCAAGUGCCCCUAGUGAUAUGCUGAACUGCUUCUCUUCAUAGCACCCAUGAUGAUACGACAGAAUAAGUUAUAUGUAUUGCUACUUGUGAGAUUACCUAGUUGCAAACUGAUUGAUCAUGCGGUGUGGCUAAUUUUGUUAUAGUUUGACCAUCAGUGUUUGAUGAGAGGUGCUAAUGCUACGGGCGUGGUGUUAACCUUUGCACGCCGGUGGGCAGUUCGUGCAGGAGUACUCUUAAAAAAAUCUGUGAAGUUGCUAGAUCCUAUACACCGGUCGGCUCCGUGCUGGAUCCAUGCGGUGGAGAUUUUUUGUUUAUCAUGCGGCAGCGCGGAACAGUCGACGCACGGGCGUGGGUACUACUCUACCGGUAAUAGUACUGUCUACUACCACUGCGCUUUCACGGCGUACGGAGCUAGCGCAUCGAUGGAGCCAGUGAUGGCCGACGGAGUGUGUAUCUUGUGAUGGCCGAGUGUAUCUUGCGGGGUGGAUGGGCGAUGGCUUGGCAAUGGCAAUCGUAUCCCCGGCCGGGCCUGGGUGGAUGUGAAUGUGAUGGCUCCGCUCGGCCGCGCUUGUCUCUUCCUCGUUGCCCGGCUGUCUCGCGCCGGCCGGGCGCUUGUUUUGUCUGCCCGCAUUGGUGCUAAGCAGGACGCGGCCACGGCGAGUGAGAUGGCGAUGCAUGACCAGGUUGCACAACAACUCGCAUGUGGCAAGUAUGUCUCAUGGGUCCGGCCGGCGCCUCUCGUCUCCGUGGGCGCCUUUUGGCUCCGGCGAGGGAGUGGAGUGGAGUGGGGUGCGCCAUGUGUGGUGUGGCGCCGCUAAGGUUCUCUGACCGAUGGAUGGAUGGAUGGGAAGGAGAUGCGCCGGGAGAGGCGUGGCACGUCUCGUGGUCGCGCGCGCUCUGCUCGGGUCCGGGUGCGGCGCGUACGUGUGUGCUUGUGUGUAUGCGUGAGGCGGAAAGUGUUCGUGUGCGCGCGGUGGCGGUGGUGACUGCCCGCUGAGGUGGUGGCGCCAUCCCUAUUCAUCCAUCCAGCCGAGCCCGGUGCGGGUGUGGCUCGUCUAUCCUAGGACGGCCCGGCCGGACGGCGACGCGUAGCUCGCGCACUGGCGCGUUUUUCAUGUGCUCUGGUGCGCGGCCGGCCAUGCCGUUCGGUUGAGCCUUUUUUCUCCGGCGGGCGAUUUCGUGUCGCCAGGAAACGAACGCGCGGCUCGUACGUACUAUGUACGUACGUGCUACGCGGCAGCUGGAAAGUGAUUGCGACGAGACGAGGCACUGGUUGGUUGUUGGAUCCGAUCAUAAUCCAUCGGAGGGGCCUGGAUCUCACCCUCGGCCUCAGCACGGCACGGCUGCAUUGCAACGGGAGCACACAAACUUCGGACAGUGGACGGUCCGUAUAUACGUAGAGAGUACAGAUCGCUGUUCUCACGUGGACUCGCCGCGAGCUGGCUUGGCAGCUCGGGCACACCGUGGGCGUGGUCACCGUGCUCUUCCAUGCCGUAUUGCCGCAUGCGGGCGUACACGGCUGCCCCCUCGGCUCAGUUACAAGAUUCGGGCUAAAAGGAGGUCGCUUCGAGCGGUUGCAGUAUAUAGCCGCGAAUGACGACUUGUCAACUCAGCCCACUGAGCAUGCCAACCUGGUGUCCAUCUCUCGUGGAUAUUGAAGUUUCGGUUCAGAUACCACGUCACUAUAAGUGCUCCAUAUUCUUGUUCGUGCGAUCCGUGGCCGUCCGCGUCGGCCUACUUGUCAACGCUCACCUCUGGCCACCCGAGGAUGUACUGUAUGUAUGUAUGGACGGUACGUGCAUGGCGCACAUGCCGCGAUUGCCGCAGCCCAAAACAGAUGAGCGCGACCUUCCACAUUAUCAUAUCUCCGAGAGAGACCGAGGAAAGGCUUUCUUUCUUCCUUCCAGGAGAAGAAAAGAAAGGCGAUCGCCUCCUGUCGCGAGGGUGACUUCCUCUGCCGCGUCCUUCGGCGGCUNNNNNNNNNNNNNNNNNNNNNNNNNNNNNNNNNNNNNNNNNNNNNNNNNNNNNNNNNNNNNNNNNNNNNNNNNNNNNNNNNNNNNNNNNNNNNNNNNNNNNNNNNNNNNNNNNNNNNNNNNNNNNNNNNNNNNNNNNNNNNNNNNNNNNNNNNNNNNNNNNNNNNNNNNNNNNNNNNNNNNNNNNNNNNNNNNNNNNNNNNNNNNNNNNNNNNNNNNNNNNNNNNNNNNNNNNNNNNNNNNNNNNNNNNNNNNNNNNNNNNNNNNNNNNNNNNNNNNNNNNNNNNNNNNNNNNNNNNNNNNNNNNNNNNNNNNNNNNNNNNNNGUGGAUUGUUUUAGGCGUUAGUUUUGCUAGAAUUUUGGGUUGUUCAUCGUCAUAGUUUCGGUGAUGGCGAUGGCGGCGCCGACUAAUAAAUCUUCAGAUCCUUCCUCAAUGAGAUGAUCCUUUUUGGGAUGGAUUUGGAAACCAGACUGUUCAAGCAAGGAUGGCGUGGCGGUGGCGGCAUUCUCGUGGUGGACCUGUGUCCUCGGACUCCGCUAUUGCGAUGGCGUUUGCUCCAGCGCCGGCGUGGAGCUUGGGAGGGGCACUACUAGAAAAAGGCCUACUAAUGGUGCGCCAUUAGUACCACGCCACUAGAAUAUUUUAGUAAUGGCGCACCACAGGUGCGCCAUUAGUAUCUGGUAUACUAAUGGCGCACCUCAUGGAAGUGCGCCAUUAGUAAUAAUUUUUUUUUUUCGUUUUUUCUUAAUCUCAGGUCACUAUUUCACAUGUGAGAUAUCCAACACACACACACACACAUAUAUAUAUACAACAAGCAUCCAUAUAACAAUCAUAUCCAACACACAAGUUUCAUCAUAUAUACAUACAUAGCCAACACAUAGUUCCAUCGUUACAUAUUACAAAAGUUUCACAUUGUUCAUCCAACACCGUUAUCCAUCAAUUCACAAAAGUUUCACAUUGAUACAAAAUAAAAAUACAAAUGGAAAAGAAGCACUCAAUCCAUGCAAGCUUUCGUGAAUUAAAUCAAAUAUGCAAAAUGAUAAACAAGAAGUUAGAAGAAGAAGAAGACUAAAAGAAUACUAGAAGAAUACUAGAAGAAGAAUAAGAAGAAUAAGAAGAAGACUAUAAGCUUAUUAUGUAAACUUGAUCAUUUUGUGCUAACAUAAGUAAUUUUGGAGCUAACCUAUAGGAAACUAAGCAUAUAAGCUCUCUAAGUUAGCAUAUUAGAGCCAACUUAGGUAAAAUGAAGCUAACCUAUGUCAUUUUGAAAAGAAGAAGAAUAAGAAGAAUAAGAAGAAGACUAUAAGCUUAUUAUGUAAACUUGAUCAUUUUGUGCUAACAUAAAUUAUUUUGGAGCUAACCUAUAGGAAACUAAGCAUAUAAUCUCUAAGUUAGCAUAUUAGAGCCAACUUAGGUAAAAUGAAGCUAACAUAUGUCAUUUUGGAAAAGAAGAAGAAUAAGAAGAAAACUAUAAGCUUAUUAUGUAAAUUGAUCAUUUUGUGCUAACAUAAGUAAUUUUAGAGCUAACCUAUAGGAAACUAAGCAUAUUAGAGAUAACAUAGGUAACUAAGUAUAUAUAUCAUUUUGGAGAUCUGACAUACCUGACAUAGUUCAGUUCUCAUUGUUCUUCUCCUUCUCCUUCCUCAGCCUGAUGUGCCAAGAGCGGCGAGGCGGUGGAGGCAGUUGUGGAUGUAGUCUUCUACCACAAUUGGCGUGUUCAUGUUGCCCAGCUGUGGGAUCGCCGGCGCCACCACCGGUGCGUGGUCAUUGUCAGGCACCACCACCAUCGUGAGGACACCUUCAGGCAGGACGGGCACGACCAUCGCUAGGUCAUCCUCAGCCAUCACCAUCUCUUGCCCAUGGUCAGCCACCACCAUCUCUUGCCAUUGGUCAGCCACCACCAGCGCUAGGUCAUCCUCAGCCUGAUGCCCAUCGUCAUCCUGCAACUCCUCAUCCCCACUCUGCUCCUCUUCUCCCGCACUGCAGUCCGGAUCAUCCUUCUUGUUGUCUUUGCUGCUGUUAGAAUCGCUGCUGCUUUCACUAAAGCCAGAAUCGCUGUUGCUUUUGCUACAGCCAUAAUCGCUGCUGCUUUGGCUGUAGCCAGUGUCGCUACUGCUGCUCCCAUUGCCUGUCCAAAUGCAACAAUGACCGUUAACAAUCGAUGUGGGACAAAGCUAAAUAUAGAGGAAUAAGAAGAGGCAGAACGCACUGGCAUCUUCGUCGUCAGCGUAGCGCAUGCGACACAUAGUCGCGUUGAAAACCUUCACGAUGAGCAUUGUGGCGUCAUCGUCGUACCUGAAGAGAAGAAAGUACCUGGUUCAUAGGUCGUAGGCACUGUAGAACUUCUCCCAUCCACGGCACAGGUACAUGUGGCCCUCCUCGAUCACCAACUCCACGUCCCACAGCCUGCGAACCCCGCUGCCGGCCUGUCGGAGCUUCACAUUAUCUGGCGGAUCUUCACCCAGCAUGUUCAUAAAAGUGUUAGGCAGCCUCUGCAAUUUGGGACAAGGAGUGAUGUAGCAAACAACAGAGUUAUCAUAAUGAGAUGGGUGAAGGGGAGAUAUCUCGUUUUAUAUACCUGCCUCGUGGCUGAUACUGAAGUCCCAAGUAUGAUACCGAAGAACUCGAAAGCAUCCAACUCGUACUCCGGUGAGGCAGAGCGGCGGUGGCUGCUUCCCCCCAUCUCUGAUAAGCAACAGAAGAGACCAGUUAGUACCCUUACAACAUUAUCAUACAACAUUAUAGCAGCAUAAAUUUUGAGCAGAAGAUAAUCAACUACACCAAUGCACUUCCGAAGUUCCCGCUUCCCACCCAUGAUGUUGUGAAGCGAGGACUAGUGCCAAAUGCAUUUUCGGUACGAAAAUACAUCACAGGCCACUAUGUUAUUUAAUAUCAUUCUUCUCGAAGACUAAUGAUUGUUACAUCCUACUAAAAUGAUGUUCUGUCCUCAGAGAUGUCUCGUUGCUUAUGAGGAAGCAGCAAAUAAACACUUGAAAAAAGCUCCCGUCCUCGAAGAUGCAUUCUUGGUUAUAUUACCGUUCUGAGUUAUGUCGUUCUGUUAUUUUAUUUGAAGGCAUGAAGGGUUACUUAUUUGAAGAUGCUACUCCUAAGAAAGGUCAACUUUUCGAUCAUCAGCCUCUACAAUUAAACAAUGAUGCAUUCUUCCUUUUCCUUUCCAUCUUCUUCUUCUCCACCUCUCUUAUUUUCUUGUUCUCCCUUUUCUUUCUUCUCCUUCCUCCUCCCCCUCUUCUCCUUCUUCCUUUCUUGUUCUGUUUUUCAACUUUCUUCUUAUUCUUCUUCCUUUUUUUCCUUUUUCCUCUUGUUCUACUUCUUCUUCCUUUUUUCAACUUUCUUCUUCUUCUAAUUAUCUAAACCUAAAUCUAGCACUAACCUAAACCAACCACUAACUAAACCUAUCAAUAACCUAAUUAAACCUAAACGUCAAAGAAAAACAGUAGAAAAAAACAAAAAAAUGCUCACCUUGGCUCCAGGGGCAAGGGGUGGUGGNNNNNNNNNNNNNNNNNNNNNNNNNNNNNNNNNNNNNNNNNNNNNNNNNNNNNNNNNNNNNNNNNNNNNNNNNNNNNNNNNNNNNNNNNNNNNNNNNNNNNNNNNNNNNNNNNNNNNNNNNNNNNNNNNNNNNNNNNNNNNNNNNNNNNNNNNNNNNNNNNNNNNNNNNNNNNNNNNNNNNNNNNNNNNNNNNNNNNNNNNNNNNNNNNNNNNNNNNNNNNNNNNNNNNNNNNNNNNNNNNNNNNNNNNNNNNNNNNNNNNNNNNNNNNNNNNNNNNNNNUGGGGCGCCGGGGCGGGGCGCCGUUCGGGCGACGGGGCGGUGGCGGGUGGUGGGGGCGACGGGGCGAGGGGCGGUGUGGCCAGGGGGCGGUGGCGGGUGGUGGCGACGGCGGGUGGUUGGGACGGUGGGGCGACGGGGCGAGGGAAGGUGGGGCUCGGCAUUACUAACAAUUUUUUUUAAAACUACUAAUGGCGCACGGUGGGUGUGGUGCACCAUUACUAUGUCAACUAGUAAUGGCGCACUGUACCAUGGUGCGCCAUUAGUAACAAUUUUUUUUAAUUUUUUUCAAAACUACUAAUGGCGCACCACACACCAGGUGCGCCAUUAGUAAUAUAUUACUAAUGGCGCACCAACACAUGGUGCGCCAUUAGUAUAUAGUAAUGGCGCACCACAUGCCUGGUGCGCCAUUAGUGGCCAUAUCAUCUAUAGCCCUUUUUCCUAGUAGUGAGGAGCGAAUGCAGUUUGUGAUAUGCAUCGAUGGCAUCUGGAAAAUGGUGGAUCUGGGUUCGUGGUUCGUGGCAUGCAGGUAUGGUUUCCUCCUCCAACGUCUUAGUUGGGUGGGGGUGCCUGAUCUGGAGUUCGAUGGUGUGUUCGGGGUGUUGCCCUGGUCUAAUUCGUUCAACGGAAAUGGCUUCGCCUUUAUUGGCGAGUUACCUUGGAGGUCCACAAAGCUGCAUAUCAGCGAUGGAGCCGCCUCGAGCUCGGGUGUGGAGGUGAUCCGUCAUUUUCUUUUUUGGUGGCUGCUAUGGUGGUGCCAGAGGCAGGUGACGGGCGUUGGUGUCAAGCUCAGAUGAUUCUUCAGUCUUGUUUGUAAUUUUACUUCUUGGCUGGUGUUUCUAUGUGCAAAGGCUAACGGCCUGCUGUCUUUUCAGUUUUGUGAGGUCGGUAUGUACGUGACUUGUACUAUGGUCAUCAUGAUAUAAAUGAGACACGUAUUACCAUGAAAAAACAGAUGAGCGCACGUUCGUGGUCGAAGAGGAGGUUCUGUCGAAUACUCCAUCCCACCUCCGUUGAAUAUUUAGUCCAUCCCGGCUGCUCUUUCGAUGGCGACCAAAGCGCCAAGCCAUGUAAACGAAAGAGAUCGAUCGUUCAGAUGGCAGUUAUGGUGGUCUUGAGUGGGCAUCGAUCUGCAUCUGCUCGGCCAAAUAUCAGUCUUCUGCUAGUCUGUGUUGUAUCGAACGGGAAUGAGAUCCAAGGUUGUUACCCGGCUAGUAGACAGUCUCCAUCCCCAGCGACACCCAAGUCAAAUCCCAAAGCUUGCCCUAUGCUCUACUGCUUCACAAAAAGUUGUAAGAUAGUCCACGCUCUGAGCAACUCCUACGCGGCGAUCCAUUUUGCCCGCGCGCGUCUGUUUGUGUCACGGCGGAUGAAAAAGUUGGCCUAACGCGCCGACCCAAACGGACACGCGUCCGCUUUUUGUCCGCCUGCUGACCUAUUUCCGAUCCAUUUUUUAGCCUCAUUCGCAUCAGCGUGGACAUCGGUGGCAAAGCCUCCAUCAUUUCCCCACUUUUCCCAAAACUCUCCCGCCCGCGCGCGCUCUCGCCGCUCGCCAUGGACGACGACCUCGAUGCCGAAGCCGGCCUUUCCUCCCUCGCCUCGUCUGACAUCACUAUUGCCCCUCCGGCAAAGCCAUGCCUCGCGCCCCUUGCAAGACCGCCACCUCGCCCAAGAAGAAGAAGCUGACGCCCGAGGAGCGGGCCAGGGAGUCGGCAAAGAGAAAGGACUGGAAGCACGCAACGGAUGCAAGGGGCGAAGCAGUGGCGGCCGCAGCCAUAGCUGCCGCCGCGGAGCAGGAGGCCGCCGCCGCCCACGUCGCGGUGGCAACGAGUGAGGCGCUAUUGUACCUAGGGUUAAAUCUUGGACAGCACGGGCUCGUCGUGGCCGCGGCCAGCAGCGGCUCGUCUGCGUUCCCUCGGAUGGUGCUACCAGAGUCGCCCCGUGCGCCGGCGACCCACCCGAUUUCCGAUUUCCACGUCUACCUGCAAGCCUCCCGAUUCCCCGGGGAAUGCUCGUCGGAGAUGAGCGUGGUGGCGCCUUCCAGGACCGCGCCCGCACCCAUCGACCUCAAUGCCACACCAGUAGCCGAUGGCUCGUCAUCCGGUGAGGCGAGGAAACGCGCGCAGGAUAUGCCAGCCGACAUGCUCGCUGGCGACCGCAACCUGUUCAACAGAAUCCCGACGGACGGCGAUGAUGAGACGGUCGAACGUUUCAUGGAGAGCAUCAUCUUCGAGGGUGGUACGGCGGCCGCUGGCGGUGCUGCCACGGAUGGCUACGAUCCAGGUGAGACACAAAACCAGGACGGCCGAGGGCCGUUCACGCCAUCGACCUUUGAUCAAGCUGACAUGCAGGCCACCUUCAUGUGGGAUCAGGUCGGCCUGGACCUGGACGGCUUUCCGCUCGAUCACGAGUUUUCGGAGGACUACGACCUCGAGGAAGAGGAUGAGUUGGACAUCGACGGGGAGCCUUUGUUCAAGGUCGAGCUCGCCAACCAAGCCAUUGGGGCAAAGCCGAAACGCAAAAGCAAGCUGACGAAGGCAUACAUGGCUUCUGAGGACAAGUUCCUCUGUGAGUGUUGGAGGGACAUUGGGCAAGACCCCAAGGUUGGCGCCGAACAAAAAGCAUCAACCUUUUGGACUCGUGUCCAUCGUGAGUUCCACGAACGCAAGAAGUUUCCGCCGUACCACAUGCAAAGCACGCGCGGGUGGGUGUCCAUCUCGAAGCGAUGGAAGGUGAUCCAACAAGAGUGCAACGAGUUUUGUGCCACUUUUGAGAGCAUCAAGGCACACCCCAUGAGCGGCAUUAGCAUGCAAGACAUGCUAUGCAUGCAUGUGCCCCUUUUGUGUCAUUCCAUUUAUGCUUGCAUGUCCAUUUCCAUAUCCAUUUGCCAAUAUGCUUGCAUGCAUUUUAGUUGUAGGCAUUCCAAGCUUUGGAGGCAAUCAAGGUCCAACACGAUGACAAGUCCUUCAACCUCUCCCAUUGUUGGAGGGUCAUCAAAGACGAGGAGAAGUUCAAGGCGCAAUAUAAUGCCCUCAUGUCGUGUGGGGGGAAUAAAGUUGUGGAGGAGGUUAGGGAGGGCGAGAAACCACAGCCGCGGGGGAAGACCAACUCCAAGAAGGAGGACAAGCGGGAUGCGGCGUCGAACACCUUGAUCGCAACCGUGGAGGGCAUGAUGACCAAGAAGGACUCAAAGUAGGAGAAGCGCCAGCAAGACAAGAAGGACCAAAUGAAUGCCUUCAUGGAGAUCCAAAGGAGGAGGCUUGAGAUGGAGGCGGAGAAGCAAACGAGGAUGCUUGUGAUGGAGGCGGAUAAGCAAGGCAAGAUGCUAGAGAUCGAGGCCGCCAAUGCCGGAACCAAGGCGAAAGAAGUAGCUCUCGCUAGCAUGAUGACGGGAGUGAAAGUCAUGAAGGUGGAUCUCAACACCGUGUCGCCAAGGAAGAAGCCGUGGUUCGAGAAGAUGCAGGCCAACAUGUUGAUGUUCAACGACGAGUGAUCUAUGGCGGCAAGCGCCAUCCUUUUUUGUAUGGCGGCAAGUGUGUUGGUAUGACCACGGCCGCGAUGUCGUGGUUGAACUCUCGCCCCUUUUGAAGUAUUGGCAUGUGUGCCGGCGGCUGACAAGUGCGUCAACAUGAACUGUGUGGUGUUUUUUUUGAAGCUGACAUUCUAUGUCGGCUGCUAGCAUGACGCCGACAUGAAUUUUGGGCGACAGCAUAGCCGCUGGCAUGAUUUACGGCCGCGGGCCUUUUCAAAUUUGUGUGCGGACAUGAAAUGGAUCACGGGCGUUGGACGCAUUGCCAAUCCAAAUGUUAAACAGGGCAGACUCCGAGCGGACGGCCGACCCAAAUAAAUAAAAUGAGGACAAAAGUGCCGUUCAUUUGGGUCGGUGCGUUGGAGUUGCUCUAAACAUAAUUUUGCACGACAAAUACUUAAUAGUGUAUACUUGUAAUUUGCCUAUAGCUGGUAGCACCCAAUGAACCUGGAGAAGUUGCGCUGAUCGAUCAUAGAUCGCUAUACAUAAUAAAUUUUACAUUCAAUAAGAAGAGGACCAUACAGUUUAAGACACGUGCUCGGGCCGAGAGAGCUUGAAUUGAAAGCUGUGUAAAAGCAGAUCCAGGCUAGGACGCCAGUCAGGUACUCGAUCGAGUUGCAUUUGUCACGGAGAUUUUUGACAGCGUCUGACGAGUGCUAGCUGACAGUCCACAUGAUAAACUUCGCCGGUUUUCUCAACGUUUUCCUGGCGAUCAGUAGCGGCAGGCUGUGUGUGUCUGCAGCUCCGCGUCCAGUGGAGUGGAGGUCGUCGUUGCAUGCGCCAGUGAGCUCGUGUCUCGUGACAUUAAUGACCCGGGCUCAGUCAAAGGUAGAGACAUGAGUAUAUGAUAGCCUGCAAAGUUGGAGGAACGACGGAGGAAAUGAGGGGCGGCACUGGGUAAUUAUUGAUGUAUUUUAUCCCUCGUGGAAUCAAUCAUUCGUGGCUGAGGAGGUUUCCGGCCGGUUUGUGGAACACGAUGUCGCCUCACCUCCUGUCAUGAAAUCUUUGAUUCUUUGUUUGACCUGGAGCUUGUCAGCGUAGUAGUAGGUGACUACUAGGUGGUUUGCUUCGCUUCCAUUCCAGAGUCCAAUCCAACAUGGAGUGCCGAGAUGCUUGCAGGCGGUGCUUUUGGAAAAAGAUCAACACUAAGGCUAACUCUAGCGCAUGAUCCCAAAGGGAUGUCCGCUUUCUCUGGAUUCCGUCCGUUUGAGAUAGCGAUGAAUGGCAAAACGGACAUCCGUGUCCGGCUGUUGUUGGACGCGCCCAACGCGCCCGACCAUCCCAAAACGCCCGCCUGCCUCACGCCCGUGUGCUUGCCCCCGCGGUCGCCCUCCAGCCGCAUCAGCUCACGCUCGCCCGCGGCUGCCCGCCUGCGCGUGCGCGCUCGCUCGCGUGCCGCAGCAGCAGCCCGCACCGCCUCGCUGCUUGCCAGCUCGGCCGUGCCCGCGACGCCUUNNNNNNNNNNNNNNNNNNNNNNNNNNNNNNNNNNNNNNNNNNNNNNNNNNNNNNNNNNNNNNNNNNNNNNNNNNNNNNNNNNNNNNNNNNNNNNNNNNNNNNNNNNNNNNNNNNNNNNNNNNNNNNNNNNNNNNNNNNNNNNNNNNNNNNNNNNNNNNNNNNNNNNNNNNNNNNNNNNNNNNNNNNNNNNNNNNNNNNNNNNNNNNNNNNNNNNNNNNNNNNNNNNNNNNNNNNNNNNNNNNNNNNNNNNNNNNNNNNNNNNNNNNNNNNNNNNNNNNNNNNNNNNNNNNNNNNNNNNNNNNNNNNNNNNNNNNNNNNNNNNNNNNNNNNNNNNNNNNNNNNNNNNNNNNNNNNNNNNNNNNNNNNNNNNNNNNNNNNNNNNNNNNNNNNNNNNNNNNNNNNNNNNNNNNNNNNNNNNNNNNNNNNNNNNNNNNNNNNNNNNNNNNNNNNNNNNNNNNNNNNNNNNNNNNNNNNNNNNNNNNNNNNNNNNNNNNNNNNNNNNNNNNNNNNNNNNNNNNNNNNNNNNNNNNNNNNNCCACAGCCGCGCCCCGCCCAGUGCCCACGCACGCCGCUCCCGCAGCCGCGCCCCGCCCAUCGCGCACGUAGCAGAAGUCGUCGCUGCGCGCGCCCGCAUGCCCGCGCCGCCCACCACCUCGCCCCGUCGCGUCCACGUCCCGAUGUUGCAGCUGGCGCUCGCCUUCGAGCUCCCGCUUGUGGAACGCUGGUGUGCAGGACCGGCACUAGGUGGCAGCGGCCACAGAGCCGACGCCCGGCGCGAGAGCAUGCAUGGUUGGGUUGGUGGGGAAGAGAGAGCGAAAAAGGUAGAGAGAGGGAUGGGUGGGUGGGCAGACGAACCCAUUUGGUUGCAAUGACAGGUGGGUCAGGGGUCACAUGCAAAGGGAUAGAGUCGGACGAGGACCACGCAGAGAAGCGUCCGCUUGUGUUCGUUCGAUAGGUAAACCAGGCUCAACUUUGCUCCCAGGAUGAGGUAAAACGGACAAAAAACAGACGCUUUUUACAGAUGAGGUUGCGUGUUGGGUCGUCUCAUCUGUCCGUUUUGCCUCAAAUGGACACGGGCGGACAUGAUGGGGUCGUGCGCUGGAGUUGGCCUAAUGUUGCAUGGAGUCAUUGCCAGUUGUUGUGCACCUUCCGUUCAAAUUUUGACAUGUGAGUGCCGACAAUCCCUUUUCCCCAACCCUCCCGUGUCGCCCCCGCGCAGGAGGGGACACCCUUGGCUGCCGCUUCCGCUCCCCCGCUUCCUAUUUCUCCCGCCUCCCUCACCGCCAUCAUGGGGCCCACCCAGGCAAAGCCCGUCUGGAGCCGCCGGCGGCGGGGUCUUCUCGUUCCUGCACGGGUAGGAGCUAGCCCAGCGUGGUUUCCUUCGGCCUGGGCACGAUGCGGUUGCCGGGCGCCACAAUGUGGUGGCGUGCAGGUGCUCUGGUGGGCGUAGGUGUGCUCAUCGUGCUUUAGGCGUCGUUGUGGGUGGUGGAGCGCGCAUGGGUGGUUUUUGGUGGUGGGGGAAAAUAUCUGGUGCUCUGGGAGCACCUAAGCUUAGGUGCUCCCGUGCAAGCUCGACCAUUGGAUCUCAGAUCCAAGAGCUUCUGUGAAAUGAUGAAUAUUUUUGCAAAAAAGCCCUUGUAGAAUCUGAAAAAUGCGUGCAAGUACAACAGCUACAACAGCCCCUCGUACGCCGUUGGAUCUGAGAUCCGAGGGCCCAAAAGUCCGUAUCAUGGGAGCACCUAUGCUCCUGUAUCACAAGAUACUCUCCCAUGGUGGUGGGGCUAUUUCGGCCCGAUCUGCACGCCGGCUGUCCCUCGCGGCGAGGACCAUGGGCGGCGCGGAAUCGGCGGCGGCUGCUCCGUUUCGGCGUGGUGGUGGCUCUAUUGGGUCGGCUCGUGGUGGCUUGGCCGAAAGGUUUGGGUGGCGCUGCGGGCGGCCAGGGGUAUGGGUACACUGGCUAGUGAGGCGGCCGCUGUAGCUUUGCAGCGGCGGGUGGUCGUAGCGCAUCUCUUCUCCUAGAUCCGGGCCAGCGGCGCGAUUUCGCGCUGCAGACAUGGCCGGGAACCGGGGCUCGUGCUCGGGCGGAUCAACUUGGGAGGCUAAGGCGGGUCGGAGCUAUCGCUUCGGGUAGGUGAUGGAAGGCUGGGUCCGGGUGGUGUCUGUGGGCGCUGAAGUCUCUCUCCCCGUGGAUGUGGUGAUCGGUGGUGGUGGUCGGGUUUCCGCUAUUCCGUCGGGGAUAUCAGAGCCGGUGACCAUGGUCGGGGAUCGCGCGAGCGGGCUCGGUGGCGGCUGUCGGUAGUCACGGGUUUGUGUCCCUCCCGUCCACCGGGACUAGCUAGGGACGCAGGUGUGGACGCCCUUUACUGUGGGUUCAUCGACCCAGAUUUCGUGACUAAUGUUGGCUAGGAGCGAAAGGAUUCAUCUUAUGCUCCUACUUUCGUGGUUGGUGCUUUGUGAUGUGGAUGUAUGGCGGUGGCUCAGACACGAACGCCGGAGCAGCUGCUCUGGAUGGUGGUCCGCAUGGUUGGCUCUCCAGCAGGCACCAUGUGAAUGAGGUGGAGCGGAGGGUUUUGCGCUUGUUGGCUCUGGGGCAUUGCGUAAGGUGGUUCCUAGUAGCUUUUGGGUUUUAUCUUUGUAAGUAAAUUGGUACUUGUAGCUUGAUGUUGGUUUCACUUAAUGGAAAUCAGGGGGGGGGGGGAAACCCUUCCUUGAUAAAGAAAAGUAUCCUAAGAUUCCUAAACUGCUGAUGCUAUUUUGAACUUUUGGAUUGCAAUUUGUGAGAUUCCAGAGCAGUUCAUUUUUGCGUUCAAGUGCCCAAGUGAUAUGCUGAUUUGCUUUUCAUAGCACCCAUGAUAGAAUAGUUUCUCUAUCACAACUUGUCAGAUUAGCUACUUGCAAACAUUGAUUGAUGAUGUUGCGUAGCUAGUUUUGUUAUAUUUGACCAUUGGUGUUGAUAGAUGGUACUAAUAGUAAUGCUACGGGGGGAGUAUUUGACAAACAACUACCACAUUAAGGGUUACCGUCCCACAAAACUACCAUUUUCAAAAAGUGACUGAUAACUACCAAAAAUUUCAAUUUUCGUGACAAAAAACUACCAAGUCGUGUUGAUCAUUGUUUUAGCUAGUUUAACAGCUUACCUGACAGGGCUGGCCCACAUGGCAGGCCGACGGGUGCCCUAACGGCUAACCGCGCCCUACUCGCGGCCAUUAGUGGCCCGGCCCGGUCGGAACUGGCCAGUGAUAACCCACAAGUAUAGGGGAUCGCAACAGCUUUCGAGGGUAGAGUAUUCAACCCAAAUUUAUUGAUUCGACACAAGGGGAGCCAAAGAAUAUUCUCAAGUAUUAGCAGUUGAGUUGUUAAUUCAACCACACCUGGAAACUUAGUAUCUGCAGCAAAGUGUUUAGUAGCAAAAUAAUAUGAUAGUGAUGGUAACGGUAGCAAAAGAGUAAUGAAAGCAAAGUAAUAUUUUUGAUAUUUUGUAGUGAUUGUAACAACAGCAACGGGAAAGUAAAUAAGCGUAAACCAGUAUAUGGAAAGCUCGUAGGCAUCGGAUCAAUGAUGGAUAAUUGUGCCGGAUGCGGUUCAUCAUGUAACAGUCAUAACAUAGGGUGACACAGAACUAGCUCCAAUUCGUCAAUGUAAUGUAGGCAUGUAUUUCGAAUAUAGUCAUACGUGCUUAUGGAAAAGAACUUGCAUGACAUCUUUUGUCCUACCCUCCCAUGGCAGCGGGGUCCUAAUGGAAACUAAGGGAUAUUAAGGCCUCCUUUUAAUAGAGAACCGGAACAAAGCAUUAGCACAUAGUGAAUACAUGAACUCCUCAAACUAUGGUUGUCGAUGUCAAAACCGGCGGAUCUCGGGUAGGGGGUCCCGAACUAUGCGUCUAGGCCGGAUGGUAACAGGAGGUAGGGGACACGAAUUUUUACCCAGGUUCGGGCCCUCUCGAUGGAGGUAAAACCCUACGUCCUGCUUGAUCGAUAUUGAUGAUAUGAGUAUUACAAGAGUUGAUCUACCACGAGAUCGUAGAGCCUAAACCCUAGAAGCUAGCCUAUGGUAUGAUUGUUGACGUGUAUCUUAUCCUACGGACUAAAACCCUCUGGUUUAUAUAGACAUCGCAGAGGGUUAGGGUUACAUAAAGUCGGUUACAGUGGUAGGAGAUCUGAACAUCCGUAUCGCCAAGCUUGCCUUCCACGCCAAGGAAAGUCCCUUCCGGACACGGGACAGAGUCUUCAAUCUUGUGUCUUCAUAGUCCAGGAGUCCGGCCGAAGGUAUAGUUCGGCUAUCCGAACACCCCCUAAUCCAGGAAUCCCUCAGUAGCCCCCGAACCAGGCUUCAAUGAAGAUGAGUCCGGUGCGCAGAUUGUCUUCGGCAUUGCAAGGCGAGUUCUCCUCCAAAUUCCGUGUACCUGUUUGAAUAAAGUCCGGUUUCUUGUAGAUGUUGCGCUCCUUGGAUUCUACGCCCAAUAAUGGCCGUUUUCCACGUGUCAAACGAAUAUGAAAAGUCUGAGUGUUUUUAUGUUCACACCCCUAGCCGUGUAAAUGAGUUGCCCUUUUUAAGGGGACGAGGAUUUAGACCCAAUCCACACCUUCUCCCCUCCACGAGUGUUCACCAGAGCGCAUCCGACAAAGGUCCAUUCCACCAUGGCCAGCCGUCGCAACUCCUCCUCUCGCCCUUCUAGCCCUAAGCCUGGAUAUUGGGAGAGAUGUUCUACUCCGCAUAGCGAGCUAGUGACGCUUCAGACCAAGGGAUUUCUCCCCCCGGCCUAUAUGGUCCCGGUCCGAGCCGGUCUUGCCGUCUACAAUGGCGGAGAGCAAGCAGAGAAUGCCCCUAAUCCAUCCAAAGGAGAGCGGGUGUGCCUUGUUCCUUACUUAAUAAGGGGGCUCGGAUUUCCCAUCCACCCGUUUCUCCGGGGGCUGCUGGAGUUCUACGGCCUCCAGCUACAUCAUCUCACGCCUGCCUCAGUAUUGCAUAUCGUGGGCUUUGUAGCCCUCUGCGAGCUGUUCUUGGGUAUUGAAGCUCAUUUCGGACUGUGGAAGGAGCUAUUUUGCCUCGUGCCCCAUUCCAAGAAAGGGUCAAUGUAUCAAGUGGGCAGAGCCGAAGUAUGGCGCAUCGCCGGGACCGGAUAUCUGUCCCGAACCCCAAAGAAGGCGUUCGAAGACUGGCCCUCGGAAUGGUUCUAUAUAGAAGACGUCCCGCUGCCGGAUCCUAUCCGGAUCGGCCUCCCAGAGUUCGAUAGUGCUCCUUUAAAGAAGCGCCUAAGCUGGCAUCCACGGAGCCCUCAAAGGGAAAGUGACAGGGACAUCGUUUAUCUCAUGGGCCGAAUAAGAUUGUUGGCCCAUUCCGGACUAACCAUGAUCGGAGUUAUGGCCGAAUGCAUCAUGCGGGGGGUGCAGCCGCUUCAGUACAGAAGCCACCCUAUGUGGUCUUUCAACGGGGAGGACGACGCCACCCGCUAUGGCCGUAAAGGGCCAGAUUCAGUUGCCGCUCUAUUAAAGAUCUUGUCCACUUUGUACAAGGGAGAAGAGGAGGAAUUUCUCCGCGUCAACCCACAGGGUGGAUUCUCUAUGCACAAUCCCCCAAGCUGGGUAAGUGGUCACAUUUACUUGCUCAUCCGUUUAGUGUUCCCAUUGUUAAAUACUUAGUCUGAUGACUUCAACGCAGGAACUGCGCCGGGCCGUUAAGGACAUAAGCAGCCCACCUCCACAACCCGAGGACUCAGGAUAGUCUCUCGACCCGGCCUCUCAAGAGGAUCCGGACAUAUUUGUGGAGCUGAUUGAUGGAGUGUUCCAUCAAUUGAGCGAGGACAACGCCUUGGUGGCCAUUACGGCUGAUUACCCAGGGCUAAUCCGAACACCCCAGGUACCUGAGACCAAAGUCCCUGUACCCCGGAUAGGGGUCCAUCCACGCGUGUUUUAAGUUCCUGAUUGCAACCGAACUUUGCAGGGGAGGUUUUUGAGGCAGAAGGCCGAACCUGCGGCGACAAACCAACCAGGGGCCGCAGGGCCCCAUGGGCAGAAAAGAGGUGCAAUCCGGACCGAGGCAUCAAUGCGAAGGUAUGGCGCGCCCCUUUAUCCCAGUUGUUAUACCUUCGAGGCACACUUGACACUCGUGCCCUUUUUAGGACAAAGAGACCUCGCCGGAUUAUAUCCGGAGAGGCUGUUAAUCGCACCUCCACCGGCCAGGCUCCAAAGCCUGGUCCGGGGGCAAAAGCGAACGCAAGGCGUGUGCCAGACGUUCCUCCGACGGAGGAUGCGGACGGGUUAUCUGCCACCAACUCAGAGGUGGAAAGUGCCAUGAACCACAGGCGUCACCGGACAAUUCUUCGUGACGCUUUAUUCUCCCAAGAGGCAUUAGAUGCCUUCAAUUCGGGAGAUGCGCACCUCCGUGCCGCUCAAAAUGGUCUAGCUAGAGCCACGGAGCAAUAUGUAAAAGACAUACGGGUAAGAAAAUUUUGGUAAAUAUAUAUGUAGCAGUAGCCCCUGAGACUGAAAACAGUUAGAAUAACUGGUUUAAGGAUCAUUUGAAAUGCAGGUUCUUACAGAAAAGAAUUCCCUACCGACCUAGGAGCUGGAAGAGUGCAAAGCCCAACUGGAGGCCGCACUAGCCGCGGCAGGGGAGCCUAAGGAGACCCCCUCUGGUAAUAUACAUUUUGAAAGAUAAGUAUGUGGCGAAGCACGGCUUUUGUGCGAAUCUGACAAAUAAAAUUGUAGAUGGCACCGGAUUGAAUCCGGAAAGGCAACACCUCGAACGCCAACUAAAGGCUGGUGAGAGGGUGCUGUUAAAGGUGAUGGGGGAGAAGAACGUUCUCCAAGAUGCCAACACCUAGCUGGGCGUCGAGCUAAAAGAUGUUCGUGCCCAGCUGUCAGACUCCGUGAAGGAGAAUCAGCGGCUUCGGCGCAGCAUAUUUAGUAAGUGCUUGAACGAACCUUUUAAAAGAAAGUUCAGCGGUGCCGUUGAUUAACAGAGCAAUGUCUGUAGGUAUGUUAACAAGUCGUCCUGCAGAGGAGAUGCCCGGUUCUACGGGUGACCUUCUUCCCGAGCUCUUGCAAUUGCUCGAUCGAGUUUGGCAGGCGAUGCGAGGCGUCGCCCAGGUCCUGUGGCCAUCCGUCUCCACACCCGAAGGUCUUGGAGAACUUGCGGAGAAGCUGAGGGGAGCACGGCGGCACUUCCAGUUGUGGAAGAUAUCAGCCUACUGUCAAGGCGCUAGGGAGGCUUGGGCCAUGGUGAAGACGCGGUAUUCACAGGCUGACCCCAACCAUAUGGCCGAGGUUGGUCCUGUAGGGCCCGAUGGGAAGGAGAUCCCUGUGAGCUUAGUAUACAGCCAAGUAGAGUUGGCCGCAAAGUAUUCCCAGCAGGACUGUAAAUUAGACAGCCUGUUAGAUGGUAUUGAAGAGGAGUACAAUCAGUCAAAAUGACUAUGUAAUUUAAUUGACAUUUAUAAUGCCUUCUAGCCGGAUUGUAGAUCGUUUGUCAUGGCCGACCUUUUAGUUUCAUCCUCGGGACCUGACGGUCCAGAGUGUGUCCGAAUUCCCAUGCGGUUAUAUAGGAACCGGGGAAUGCAUGGAGACCAGGCGUAGGGGUCAUUAUGGCGUGAACAGACAAGUGCCCGACUAGUUAUGUUAUAUUACAUGGUUAGUAAGAAACAUCUUCCAGGGAGAAUAGUUCCGUUAGGGGUUCCUUUCCCUGGGAGGCAUGCCCUAAAGUGCAUGUCCAUGCUGCGAAGAGAAACGCAGGAAAAACAUCUGGGGGCAUGUGGAAAAAAUAAAAAAGAUCGUCUUUAGUUCACCGACCGAAUAUUCCCUUAAGAACACUAGCUUUCGGCUUCACCCAGUCUGAGGUACACGUCCGGCUGACCCGGCAGUAACAAUCGCAGAGGUGCUCCCUUUACCGCCUAGCCGAACAAUCGGGAACGUAGGGGUAAGCACAGGAGCCAGGCAACCCAGCUUGGCCAAAACUUAAGUCAUAUCGAUGCAUAUAUUGGUGAAUAUAAGGUACACGUGGAAGUUUGACACAUGUGUUGGGCGUGAAGCCCGUAGAAAUAAGCUUCUGUUGAAAGAAGCCCCCAGGUUUGCUGAGCGCGGAUAGCUUGUCACUUUGUGAGCCUCUAAAGGCUAUAAGAGGGAAAGAGAGAGAAGGAGAGAAAUGUAAGACAGAAGGUAUAUAUAAAAAAUGGACUGAGUAAGGAGAUGAACACAGGAUUCAGCGCUAGGCAUAUAAUCUUCGGAGGCGGGCUGCGUUCCAUGGGUUCGGCUCGAGUCGGUUAUCCGAUGCACUUCGCAGGCGGUACGCACCACUAGUUAGGACUUGGUCGAUGACGAAGGGACCUUCCCACUUGGGCUUGAGUUUGUCCUUUUUCUUGUCCGACAGGCAUAGAACUAAUUCGCCAACGUUGUAAUUUUUGGCCCGUACUUCUCUGCUUUGGUAUCUUAGAGCCUGCUGUUGAUAAAAUGCGGAACGGGCUUUUGCCACAUCACGCUCCUCCUCUAAUGCGUCCAAACUGUCCUGCCGAUCGAGCUCGGCUUCUCUUUCUUUGUACAUGCACACUCGAGGUGAGUCAUGAAUUAUGUCGCAAGGCAAAACUGCCUCUGCGCCGUACACCAUGAAGAAUGGUGUAUAUCCGGUGGUGCGAUUCGGUGUGGUCCACAACCCCCAGAGUACGGAGUCGAGCUCCUCUACCCAGUGUGUGUUAGAUUCCUUGAGGGAUCGUACUAAUCUGGGUUUAAUGCCGCUCAUGAUAAGACCGUUUGCACAUUCGACCUAGCCGUUAGUCUGUGGGUGAUAGACAGAAGCGUAAUCGAGCUUGAUGCCCAAGUUUUUGCACCAGAGUUUUACCUUGUCGGCCGUAAAGUUCGUGCCAUUAUCAGUGAUGAUGCUGUGCGGGACGCCGUAACGGUGUACAACCCCGGAUAUGAAGUCUGUCACAGGCCCGGAUUCAGCCGUCUUAACAGGCUUGGCUUCUAUCCAUUUGGUGAACUUAUCCACCAUGACGAGUAGGUACUUGUGCUUGUGGGUUCCGCCUUUAAGGGGUCCAACCAUAUCAAGCCCCCAGACCGCAAAGGGCCAAGUGAUGGGGAUAGUUUGGAGGGCGGUAGGUGGCAUAUGGCUUUGGUUUGCAAAGAGCUGGCAACCGGUGCAUCGCUGGACUAAGUCCUGAGCGUCUGCCCGGGCCGUCGGCCAAUAAAAACCUGUACGGAAGACCUUGCUUACCAGAGAUCGGGCUGCAGCGUGAUGACCGCCGAGUCCGGCAUGGAUUUCAGCCAGGAGAUUCCGCCCCUCCUCUUCGGAGAUGCACCUUUGAAGGACUCUGGUAGUGCUUUUCUUAUAAAGCCCCCCCUCGUGGACUCUGUAGGCUUUGGAUCGCCGCACUAUGCAGCGUGCCUCAUUCUGGUCCUCGAGGAGUACCUGCCUAGUAAGGUAGGCGAGGAAUGGUUCCAUCCAUGGGGCAAUGACGGCCAUUAUUACGUGGGCUGAAGGUGUUACUUCAAUGGCAGAGCUACCGAUUGUAUCAGAAUGCUCGGAGUCGGGCGGUGCGGUUGGGUCCUGGCUGUGCUGUUGGGUCCGGGCUGUUAUUGUUCGGCUCCCCUUCGCAUGCCAUGGAUGGCUUAAAAACCCUUUCCAAGAACAUGUUGGGGGGGGGGGACUACAUCGCGUUUUGCGCCGAUGCGUGCCAGGACAUCUUCCGCCUGAUUAUUUUCCCGGGCUAUAUGGUGAAAUUCAAGCCCCUCGAACCAAGCUGACAUUUUUAGGACGACGUUGUGGUAAGCUGCCAUUUUCGGAUCCUUGGCAUCUAAGUCUCCGUUUAUUUGGGAUAUUGCGAGGUUCGAGUCCCCGCGCACCUCUAGGCGUUGGAUGCCCAUGGAUAAUGCCAUCCGGAGACCAUGUAGAAGAGCCUCGUAUUCGGCUGCAUUGUUGGAGUCCGUGUACAGAAUCUGUAGUACGCAUUGAACUAUGUCUCCUGUGGGGGAUGUCAGAACGACACCAGCCCCCAGUCCGGCCAACAUUUUGGAGCCGUCGAAAUGCAUGAUCCAAUUUGAAUAUGUGUCGUACUCUUUAGGGAGUUCGGCCUCCGUCCAUUCUACGACAAAAUCGGCCAAAAUUUGUGACUUGAUGGCUCGUCGUGGCUUAUAAGUUAUGUCGAACGGGAGGAGCUUGAUGGCCCAUUUCGCAAUCCAGCCCGUUGCGUCACAGUUGUUGAUAAUGUUGUUAAGUGGUACUUCCGAGGCAACUGUUAUCGAACAGUCUUGAAAGUAGUGUCGUAGCUUCCGGGAUGCCAUGAAUACCGCGUAUGCAAUCUUUUGAUAAUGCGGGUACCGUGAUUUGCAGGGAGUGAGGACAGUGGACACAUAAUAGACAAGCCUUUGAAGGGGGAAUUUGUGUCCGUCCGCUUCCCGUUCGACGACGAGCACUGCGCUUACAACCCGAUGUGUUGCUGUGAUGUACAAUAGCAUUGGUUCGCCAGUGUUUGGCGCGGCCAGGACUGGGUUUGUUGCCAGUAUGGCUUUUAUUUCGUCGAGUCCGGCCGUGGCUGCGUCCUUCCAUUUGAAGUGUUCGGUGCACCGAAGGAGGCGGUAAAGGGGAAGGGCCUUUUCUCCCAGGCGGGAGAUAAAGCGGCUUAGUGCCGCCACACAUCCGGUUAACUUUUGUAUUUGUUUGGGGUCCUUUGGGAUAUCCAAUUGCGACAGAGCUCGGAUCUUGGCUGGAUUUGCUUCGAUUCCUCUAUUGGAUACGAUGAAGCCCAAGAGCUUUCCGGCUGGGACACCGAAAACGCAUUUUCCGGGUUGAGCUUGAUGUCGUAUGUUCGGAGAUUAUCAAAUGUGAGCCUCAAGUCGUCUACUAGAGAUUCAACAUGUCUUGUUUUGACGACCACAUCAUCUACGUAUGCCUCCACUGUUUUACCGAUUUGGCUUGCCAGACAUGUCUGAAUCAUGCGCCGAUAUGUUGCGCCGGCGUUUUUGAGCCCGAAGGGCAUCGUGUUGAAGCAUAAUGGCCCGUAUGGUGUGAUAAAUGUCGUUGCGGCUUGGUCUGAUUCUGCCAUCUUGAUUUGAUGGUAGCCAGAAUAUGCGUCGAGGAAACACAACGAAUCGUGUCCUGCGGUGGCAUCGAUAAUUUGAUCAAUGCGGGGGAGAGGGAAGGGAUCCUUUGGGCAAGCCUUGUUGAGGUCUUUAAAAUCGACACACAGGCGCCAGGAUUUGUCCUUCUUUGGUACCAUCACCAGGUUUGCUAGCCAGUCCGGAUGUUUUAUAUCUCUGAUGAAUCCGGCCUCCAAUAGCUUUGCUAGCUCCUCUCCCAUAGCCUAUCUCUUAGGUUCGGAAAAAUGCCGAAGAGCCUGUUUGACAGGUUUGAAGCCUGUUUGGAUAUUUAAGCUGUGCUCGGCCAGCCUGCGUGGGAUUCCUGGCAUGUCCGAAGGAUGCCAGGCGAAAAUGUCCCAGUUCUCCCGUAGGAACUCUCGCAAUGCGGCAUCGACAUCAGGGUUUAACUGUGCCCCGAUGGAAGCUGUUUUGUUGGGGUCCGUUGGAUGGACUUGGAAUUUGACUAUUUCGUCCGCUGGUUUAAAGGAGGUGGACUUGGAUCUUUUGUCGAGUACCACGUCGUCCCUAUUCACGGUAGAGCGCAGCGCAGUCAAUUCCUCGGCCGCUAGGGCUUCGUAUAGUGCUUCGAGGGCCAGUGCGGCUGUCUUGUUUUCGACGCGGAGUGCUACAUCCGGAUCACUAGCGAGAGUGAUGAUCCCGUUAGGCCCGGGCAUCUUGAGCUUCAUGUACCCGUAAUGGGGUAUUGCUUGGAAGAUUGUGAAUGCUUCCCGCCCUAGCAAAGCGUGAUAACCACUGCUGAACGGGGCCACGUGGAACGUGACUUCUUCAGACCUGUAAUUGUCCAGUGUGCCGAACACCACAUCAAGUGAGAUUUUUCCUGUACAACGCGCUUCUCGACUGGGGAUUAUUCCUCUAAAGGUUGUGCUGCUUCGCGUGAUGCGGUUCUAGUCUAUAUCCAUUUUUUGGAGAGUUUCCUUGUAGAUGAGGUUCAAUCCGCUGCCGCCGUCCAUGAGUACCUUGGUGAGACAAAAGCCGUCCACUAUUGGACUGAGGACCAAUGCGGCUGGUGCUCGGGCUGUUCGGAAUUUAGGUUCAUCACUGGCGUUGAAGGUAAUGGCCGUGUCACUCCAUGGGUUUAUUGUUGCUACUUGGUAGACUUCGGCAAGGCUGCGGAGUGUCCUUUUUCGCAUGUUAUUUGAUGCGAAGGUCUCGAAGACUGUUAAUACCGUAUUGGCGUCUCUGGGGUGGCUUUCUGUGGCUUCCAGGAUUAGGAGAUUUUCGCCAAUUUUGGCCACCUGCCGGAGUAUCCAACAUGCUCUAAGGCUGUGAGUUGGUGUGGCGUCCUCUGUACUAUGAAUUUUACAGGGUCCAUUAAGCCAUCCUUCCAGUACGGUUCCAUGCCCUGUAGAGGGUUUUUGCCUUUUGGUGUUUGGCCCGGGUGUCUGGCGAUGAUGCACCCUUUUAUUUCGGACUGGGCUUGCAUUAAGGGUCGGAUUGUCCCAAAAUUUUGUUUCGGUUUUCCAGGCGCUUUCCAUCGCAUAGUACUUUCGUACUAUGGACGCUAAGUCAACAAAGUGUGUAAUAUCACGGCGACUUAUGGCGUUGAGUAUUCCCUUGUCUGUGCAAUUAUUGCAGAAGGAUGAAAUUGCGUCUUCCUCGCGGCAGCCCUUUAUCCUGUGCAUAACCAAGAGGAAUCUGGCCCAGUAAUGAUGUAUUGUUUCUUUGGGCUCUUUCCUGAUUUGGGAUAGAUCGCUAAUGUUCGGGUGGGUGGGUGGAAUUGAAUCCAAAGCCUUACCCCUUCUCAGGCUCAGAGGCCGAGGAAUUUUCGAACUUGAAAGUUUGGAUUCCUGGAUGUCGUCCAAUGAAUCCAGUCCGUCGCCUGAUUCUCGGUUCAGGUCUUGAGUGAUAUCCUCCCCUCCGCGGUCAUCCGGUUUGGAGGGAUCGGGAAUCCGGACAUAGCGAGUCCUUAGGAUAGAUGAAGGGUCGCCACACUGUCCCUCUACCACGGCAACAUGAUGGGUGGCUUGGGGAGAGUUAAUCUCUCUCAGAUUGGUUUUAGGCCCAAUCUGGUCAUAAUCCGUAGUGACUCCCAGGGCGGCGAAGCGAUCCAAGAGAUCGUUUAUGGAGGAAAGCUCUAUUGGAUUUAACUGCUCGGCAAGUUCCGAGUUGACAUGAAGAUUGUUUUCGAUGGCUCGAGAGGUCAUUGUCGGCGUAGAAGCCGAACAGGUGGUCAUAAGAAAACCACCUAGCCGGAGGGUUUGGCCGACAGCCAAAGCUCCCUUAGCAACGGUGCCCUCUUUAAAUACGGGGCGAGGCAUCCUUCCUGAUGGCGACGACACAGAGGAACUCUCAAUGAAAGCACCAAUGUCGGUGUCAAAACCGGCGGAUCUCGGGUAGGGGGUCCCGAACUGGGCGUCUAGGCUGGAUGGUAACAGGAGGCAGGGGACACGAAGUUUUACCCAGGUUCGGGCCCUCUCGAUGGAGGUAAAACCCUACGUCCUGCUUAAUUGAUAUUGAUGAUAUGAGUGUUACAAGAGUUGAUCUACCACGAGAUCGUAGAGGCUAAACCCUAGAAGCUAGCCUAUGGUAUGAUUGUUGACGUGUAUCUUGUCCUACGGACUAAAACCCUCUGGUUUAUAUAGACACCGGAGAGGGUUAGGGUUACAUAAAGUCGGUUACAAUGGUAGGAGAUCUGAACAUCCGUAUCGCCAAGCUUGCGUUCCACGCCAAGGAAAGUCCCUUCCGGACGUGGGACGGAGUCUUCAAUCUUGUGUCUUCAUAGUCCAGGAGUGUGGCCGAAGGUAUAGUUCGGCUAUCCGAACACCCCCUAAUCCAGGACUCCCUCAACGGUCAUCACCGGUAAGUGUCCCGAUUAUUGUCACUUCGGGGUUAACGGAUCAUAACACAUAAUAGGUGACUAUAGACUUGCAAGAUAGGAUCUAGAACUCUCAUAUAUUGAUGAAAACAUAAUAGGUUCAGAUAUGAAAUCAUGGCACUCGGGCCCUAGUGACAAGCAUUAAGCAUAGCAAAGUCAUAGCAACAUCAAUCUCAGAACAUAGUGGAUACUAGGGAUCAAACCCUAACAAAACUAACUCGAUUAAAUGGUGAAUCUCAUCCAACCCAUCACCGUCUAGCAAGCCUACGGUGGAAUUACUCAUGCACGGCGGUGAGCAUAAUGCAAUUGGUGAUGGAGGAUGGUUGAUGAUGACGAAGGCGAUGAAUCCCCCUCUCUGGAGCCCCGAACGGACUCCAGAUCAUCCCUCCCGAGAGGUUUUAGGGCUUGGCGGCGUCUCCGUAUCGUAAAACACGAUGAUUUCUUGUCCUUUAUUUUUUUCUCCCCGAAAGCAGUUAUAUAGAGUUGGAGUUGGAGUUGGGGGGUCUCCAGGGGGCCCAUGAGGUAGGGGGCGCGCCCUAGGGGGGGAGCUCCCCCACCCUCGUGAGAAGGGUGUGGGCCCCCUGCUCUUCAUCUUUGGUGAGGAUUUUUUAUUAUUUAUUGUAAGAUAUCCCGUGGAGUUUCAGGUCAUUCCGAGAACUUUUGUUUUCUGCACAUAAAACAACAUCAUGGCAAUUCUGCUAAAAACAGCGUCAGUCCGGGUUAGUUCCAUUCAAAUCAUACAAGUUAGAGUCCAAAACAAGGGCAAAAGUGUUUGGAAAAGUAGAUACGUUGGAGACGUAUCAACUCCCCCAAGCUUAAACCCUUGCUUGUCCUCAAGCAAUUCAAUUGACAAACUAAAAGAAAUAAAGAAAAAAAAUUACAAACUCUGUUUGCUCUUGUUGUUAUAAAUAUGUCAAGCUAGCAUUCAAGUUUUCAGCAAAGAUUAUAACUAACCAUAUUUGCAAUAAUUCUCAGGUCUCAUGUUUACUUAUAUCAAUAGCAUAAUCAACUAGCAAGCCAUAAUAGUAAAUCUCGAAUGACAACACUUUCUCAAAACAAUCAUAAUAUGAUAUAAUAAGAUGGUAUCUCGCUAGCCCUUUCUGAGACCGCAAAACAUAAAUGCAAAGCACCUUUAAAGAUCAAGGACUGGCUAGACAUUGUAAUUCAUGGUAAAAGAGAUCCAAUCAUAGUCACAUCCAAUAUAAAUUAACAGUAAUGAAUGCAAAUGACAGCUGCACUCUCCAGCUAGUGCUUUUUAAUAAGAGGGUGAUGACUCAACAUAAAAUUAAAUAGAUAGGCCCUUCGCAGAGGGAAGCAGGGAUUUGUAGAGGUGCCAGAGCUCGGUUUUGAAAUAGAGGUGAAUAAUAUUUUGAGCGGUAUACUUUCAUUGUCAACAUAACAACCAAGAGAUGACAAUAUCUUCCAUGCUACACACAUUAUAGGCGGUUCCCAAACAGAAUGGUAAAGUUUAUACUCCCCCUCCACCAACAAACAUCAAUCCAUGGCUUGCUCGAAACAACGAGUGCCUCCAACAUACAUCAGGUCCCAGGGGGAGUUUUGUUCGCAAUUAUUUUGAUUUAGUUUGCAUAAAGCAUGGGACUGGGCAUCCCGGUGACCAGCCCUUUAUCUCGUGAGUGAGGAGCGGAAUCCACUCCUCUUGGGAAUAACCCGCCUAACAUGGAAGAUACAUGCAACCCUAGUUGAUACAUGAGCUAUUCGAGCAUACAAAACAGGAUGAUUAUUUGAAGGUUUAGAGUUUGGCACAUACAAAUUUACUUGGAACGACAGGUAGAUACCGCGUAUAGGAAGGUAUAGUUGACUCAUCUGGAAUAACUUUGGGGUUUAAGGGAUUUGGAUGCACGAGCAGUAUUCCCGCUUAGUACAAGUGAAGGCUCGCAAAAGACUGGGAAGUGACCAACUAGAGAGCAACAACAGUCAUGUACAUGCAUUAAGAUUAAUAAACAUUGGAUGCAAGCAUGAGUAGGAUAUAAUCCACCAUGAAUAUAAAUAUCGUGAAGGCUAUGUUGAUUUGUUUCAACUACAUGCGUGAACAUGUGCCAAGUCAAGUCACUUAAAUCAUUCAGAGGAGGAUACCACCCUAUCAUACCACAUCAUAACCAUUUUAAUAGCAUGUUGGCACGCAAGGUAAACCAUUAUAACUCAUAGCUAAUCAAGCAUGGCACAAGGAACUAUGAUCUCUAAUUGUCAUUGCAAACAUGUUUAUUCAUAACAAGCUGAAUUAAGAACGAUGAACUCAUCAUAUUUACAAAAACAAAA
rnacentral:lncRNA from 1 species